UGCAAGUCGAGCGGCAGCGACAACAUUGAACCUUCGGGGGAUUUGUUGGGCGGCGAGCGGCGGACGGGUGAGUAAUGCCUGGGAAAUUGCCCUGAUGUGGGGGAUAACCAUUGGAAACGAUGGCUAAUACCGCAUGAUAGCUUCGGCUCAAAGAGGGGGACCUUCGGGCCUCUCGCGUCAGGAUAUGCCCAGGUGGGAUUAGCUAGUUGGUGAGGUAAGGGCUCACCAAGGCGACGAUCCCUAGCUGGUCUGAGAGGAUGAUCAGCCACACUGGAACUGAGACACGGUCCAGACUCCUACGGGAGGCAGCAGUGGGGAAUAUUGCACAAUGGGCGCAAGCCUGAUGCAGCCAUGCCGCGUGUAUGAAGAAGGCCUUCGGGUUGUAAAGUACUUUCAGCAGUGAGGAAGGGGGUAUCGUUAAUAGCGGUACUCUUUGACGUUAGCUGCAGAAGAAGCACCGGCUAACUCCGUGCCAGCAGCCGCGGUAAUACGGAGGGUGCGAGCGUUAAUCGGAAUUACUGGGCGUAAAGCGCAUGCAGGUGGUUUGUUAAGUCAGAUGUGAAAGCCCGGGGCUCAACCUCGGAAUUGCAUUUGAAACUGGCAGGCUAGAGUACUGUAGAGGGGGGUAGAAUUUCAGGUGUAGCG
rnacentral:rRNA from 1 species